rnacentral:rRNA from 1 species
AUACAGGGGGUGCGAGCGUUAAUCGGAAUUACUGGGCGUAAAGAGUACGUAGGCGGUUGCUUAAGUCAGAUGUGAAAGCCCCGGGCUCAACCUGGGAACUGCAUUUGAAACUGAGUGACUAGAGUUUAAGAGAGGGGAGUAGAAUUCCGGGUGUAGCGGUGAAAUGCGUAGAGAUCCGGAGGAAUACCAGUGGCGAAGGCGGCUCCCUGGCUUAAAACUGACGCUGAGGUACGAAAGCGUGGGUAGCAAACAGGAUUAGAAACCCCAGUAGUCC